rnacentral:rRNA from 1 species
AGGACGAACGCUGGCGGCGUGCCUAAGACAUGCAAGUCGAACGGAGCCUUCGGGCUCAGUGGCGAACGGCGGAGUAAUACAUGAGCAACCUACCCUUGAGUGGGGAUAACCUGGAGAAAUCUGGGCUAAUACCGCAUAAUACCUUCGGGUCAAAGGAGCAAGUUCGCUUAAGGAGGGGGUCGCGGCCGAUUAGUUAGUUGGCGGGGUAAUGGCCCACCAAGACUAUGAUCGGUAUCC